CUACGUGCCAGCAGCCGCGGUAAUACGGAAGGUCCAGGCGUUAUCCGGAUUUAUUGGGUUUAAAGGGAGCGUAGGCGGAUUAUUAAGUCAGUGGUGAAAGACGGUGGCUCAACCAUCGUUAGCCAUUGAAACUGGUAGUCUUGAGUGCAGACAGGGAUGCUGGAACUCGUGGUGUAGCGGUGAAAUGCUUAGAUAUCACGAUGAACUCCGAUCGCGAAGGCAGGUGUCCGGGCUGCAACUGACGCUGAGGCUCGAAAGUGUGGGUAUCAAACAGGAUUAGAUACCCUGGUAGUCCACMCAGUAAACGAUGUAUACUCGCGGUUUGCGAUAUAAUGUAAGCCSCCAAGCGAAAGCAUUAAGUAUACCACCUGGGGAGUACGCCGGCAACGGUGAAACUCAAAGGAAUUGACGGGGGCCCGCACAAGCGGUGGAGCAUGUGGUUUAAUUCGAUGCAACGCGAAGAACCUUACCUACUCUUGAC
rnacentral:rRNA from 1 species